GCUUCCAGGGAGGCCUCCAUGUAGGCCUUAGUAAAGCCUGAACUGGAGUAGGCUUGCAGGUCCCAAGCAAGCAAGGAAGUAGGCAGGCAGAGUGGCCCCUACAGCUCUCCGCAGCAGACCUUCUGCCACCCAGCCCAGCAUUUGCCAGUGAAGAGCUGGACCACAGUAUUCAAAUGAGGCAGGCGGCACAGAGGAAAAAAUCCUGAGUUGAGUUCCUGCUGUACAGGAUUAUAGUAUUUAACUAAAAACAAAAACCAUCUGUUGGUAAUGGCUAAUUUGCAGCUGUUUCAAUCAUGUGUUUUAACUGACAAACUACUAGGUGAAUAUGAGAAAUUGCAUUUUAUUUUGGAACUUGAUUAAAUUACUGUUUCAUGUGAUGUGAACAAUG